rnacentral:rRNA from 1 species
GAGGUUAAGCGACUAAGCGUACACGGUGGAUGCCCUGGCAGUCAGAGGCGAUGAAGGGCGUGCUAAUCUGCGAUAAGCGCCGGUAAGGUGAUAUGAACCGUUAUAACCGGCGAUACCCGAAUGGGGAAACCCAGUGUGAUUCGUCACACUAUCAUUAACUGAAUCCAUAGGUUAAUGAGGCGAACCGGGGGAACUGAAACAUCUAAGUACCCCGAGGAAAAGAAAUCAACCGAGAUUCCCCCAGUAGCGGCGAGCGAACGGGGAGGAGCCCAGAGCCUGAAUCAGCAUGUGUGUUAGUGGAAGCGUCUGGAAAGGCGCGCGAUACAGGGUGACAGCCCCGUACACAAAAGCGCAUGUGCUGUGAGCUCGAUGAGUAGGGCGGGACACGUGGUAUCCUGUCUGAAUAUGGGGGGACCAUCCUCCAAGGCUAAAUACUCCUGACUGACCGAUAGUGAACCAGUACCGUGAGGGAAAGGCGAAAAGAACCCCGGCGAGGGGAGUGAAAAAGAACCUGAAACCGUGUACGUACAAGCAGUGGGAGCACAGGUUUACCUGUGUGACUGCGUACCUUUUGUAUAAUGGGUCAGCGACUUAUAUUCUGUAGCAAGGUUAACCGAAUAGGGGAGC